GACGUAGGGGGCAAGCGUUAUUCGGAAUUAUUGGGCGUAAAGCGCUCGUAGGCGGGACUGCAAGUCCGUGUUGAAAGACCUCGGCUCAACUGAGGGACCGGCGCGGAUACUGUGGUUCUUGAGGCAAUCAGAGGGUGAUGGAAUUCCCGGUGUAGCGGUGAAAUGCGUAGAUAUUCGGAGGAACACCAGUGGCGAAGGCGGCUCACUGGUCCGGUACUGACGCUGAGGUGCGAAAGCGUGGGGAGCAAACAGG
rnacentral:rRNA from 1 species